UACGGAGGGUGCAAGCGUUGUCCGGAUUUAUUGGGUUUAAAGGGUGCGUAGGCGGCAGAUUAAGUCAGCGGUGAAAUUCCACAGCUCAACUGUGGAACUGCCAUUAUACUGGUUUGCUUGAGUACAGAUGAGGUAGGCGGAAUUGACAGUGUAGCGGUGAAAUGCUUAGAUAUUGUCAAGAACACCUAUUGCGAAGGCAGCUUACUAAGCUGUAACUGACGCUGAGGCACGAAAGCGUGGGGAUCAAACAGG
rnacentral:rRNA from 1 species